CCGUAUAUCUAAAAGCAAGGGGCAUGGGGUCUCCAAUUGCAUGCCAGAGUAACUGGAGAGACUUUGACAGCCCAGGCCAGCACAGUGCCUGCAGCUGCCACUCGACUUUCCUAUACAU